GAUUCUAUCAGCUUCAUUUAAACCAACGACAAUCAGCCAACCAACAGUCAUUUUCAAGGGCGCAGCCUGUUCGGUCGAGCCAUGAAGCGAUGAUUGGGCGACGGCUCAAGGGGAUCCAAGCGCCAACCGUGAAUCACGGCGACGUGCAGAGGCACGCCGGACUCGUGCGCAGCAGCGGCGGUUCCAAGGACAGCAGCGUUGACGGCGUCGAGCGGUGAAAGGUAGAAGACUCCCGACCUCAGCGAUGGUCCUCGCCGGAUUCCAGUAGCAGCAGCGGCGUCGGGGCUCGGAGAAUCGACGGAGACAACAGACUUUCGACGGUGAAGUCCGAGAACGGCAACAGCAGCAGGCGGCUUAGCUGCUGCCCGUCGAUCCAGAGAGAGAAAAGAGGGCUCGACGUCGAAGAGGAAAUUGAGGACGGGAGUUGGACGGCGCCGCUCCCAGCCGACGACCGUUCGCCGGAUUUCGAAAGUGGAAGUGGCAGAUUCAGAUGAUGGAGAAAUUAGGGCUUCUUCUUCGUUCCUUCAAUAGAUUCGAGGGAGAGAUGAACGUUUGAAGCCGAGAGGAGAUGGGCGAAGGGAGUGUCCGAGUCAGGCAGAGCAACGACCGGCGACCGUUCGCCGUCCUUCCAUGGGCAGCGGCGACGGCGGCGAUUUCUAAAUUGGGAGGGGAGAGUGACAGCUCUGUUUCGGAGAGGAUAAGAAGGACGUGGAGGGAUUGACGUUGACGAGGAGAAGCGGCGAAGCGUCGACCUCGCCGGUUUGCAGAGCGGCGGCGGCGGGCGCCUCGGCUGAAGGCAGAGCGAGAGGGAGAGAGGCGUGCUUGAUUUGAGAGAUGAGAGAGACCGAGUAUUGAGGGUGAGAGGAAGGCAUUUGGGCUUUCUUGAUUAUUCACAUAUUUGGGCCUUUCUUAUUUAAUUGAGUUGGGCCGAAAAAUUUGGGCCUCCUAUUUAUUUAUUGGGCUUUGUUAUUUAUUUUCAGUGGGCUUGAGUUGGGCUGAGUUAUUUAUUAAUUUUGGGCCGAUUUUAAAUUAGGAAUUGGGCUUCAGAAUUUAUUUAUAUGGACCGAUUUUAAUUACUGAUUGGGCCUCUGAUUUUAUUUAUAUGGGCUUUGAUUUAAUUGUUGUUUUGAUUUGUAUGGGCUUUAUUUAAUUGAGUUGGACUCUAUUUAUUUUAAUAAUUGGGCCGAAAAUUGGGCCUCCUAUUUAUUUUCUUUGGGCUUCAUAAUUAUUUAUUUUUGGGCCUUGUUGUAUUGUAAUUGGGCCGAUUUUAAUUAUGAAUUGGGCCUCUGAUUUUAUUUAUAUGGGCCGAUUUUAAUUACUGAUUGGGCCUCUUAAUUUAUUUAUAUGGGCCUUUAAUUAUUCACAUAUUUGGGCUACUGUAUCAUUUCAGUUGGGCCUUAUUUAUUUUACUCAGAUGGGCCUCUAUUACAUUAUUUCUUUGGGCCGAAUUUAUUUAAAUUGAAGCCCAUCUAUUUUAUUGGGCUGUUAUAUUAUCUUCGUUGGACCUCGUUUGAUUUAUUUAAUUGAGCCCAGUUAAUCAAAUUAUUUAUUUAUUGGGCCAAGAUUUAUUUAAUUACUUGAGCCGAUGAAUUAUUUCAAUUGGGCCUCUCAUGUUAAUUAUUCAAGCCCACUUCUAUUUAAUUAAUUAUUGGGCUGUCUUAUGUUGAUCCUUUUAAUUAUUUAAUCUUAUAACAUUACUUAUUCCUAUUUAUUAAGCCCGAUUAAUUAUGAGGUUAUAAAGCGAAUAAGUCGAAGUUUUUAUUUAUUUCUUUUCUAUCGAUUACCUCGAGUAAGAUUAUUUAAUCAGUGGAGUAUAACAUCCUGAAGAGAAUAGAUUAAUUUUAGUUAAUUAUCCGGUUUCAUGAGACAAGACUUAGUUUUAUCCGAUAGCUUGGAUUUAUAAUAGAAUCUUCCAGAUUAUUAUCUCAGAAUAAUAAUUCAUGCAUAAGGAUCAUGCAUCAUUAAUUCUGUAUUCUCAUUAUUUGAGGAUUUUACUCGAGCAGUAUCUUAUUUAUAUUCUCGUAAUAAAGGUCAAGCACGAGAUUAAUAAUCGGUCAAGGAGCUACUGUAUCACAGAAAGUUUCUAUCAGGUGGGCAUUACUUUCAUAUAUAUCAAAUGAGUUUAAAUGUUACGUUCAAGCAAGUUAUUUCAUGACUAAAUUAAUUGAAGUUAUUUCAAAUAUUGUCUUGCCAUAAAAUGUUUCAAUUUCAGUAUGAUAUCUAUCUGAUGUUACUUUUAUCAUGUAAUCGAAUUCGGGUCUUGAGCAGUUGAUAGCUAUCCUGCCAGGGCUAGUGUACACCAGUGACCGUGAGUCAUCUAGCGGGUUGGCCGGUCAAGUGACCGUGAGAGGUGGCCACCUCUCCGGCACACAGUUCCAGAUAUGAUAGAUUACAAGAGAACUUAGACUGCAGUCGAACUUUAAGAAUCACAAAUGAAUUUAGUAAGCUUGGGCCUUUUAGCGAAAAACUCCCUUGCUGUACUGUUUAUGAUGGCAUGACAAUUUACAGUUUUGAAGCAUGUAUUUUUAUACUUAGGCAUACGUGCCCACUGAGUACUUUUGUACUCAGCCCUGCAUAUAUUUCUAAAUGUGCAGGUUGAGUAGCUGCCGAUGGUGAUGAAGUGACGAGCGAGAUUUUUUUGUCUUAUUAUAUAUUAAUGAACUCUAGGGUUACAUGUCUUCAUACAUGUAAUCAGAAUCAUAUUCCGCUGCAUACUCAGAAGUUUUAUGUUAUUUUGGAUAAGUCGGAGUUAUCCGAGCUUACUAGUUAUUUGAGUCUAUACGACUAAAACUCCGUUAUAUUAUAAAUAUCCAUGUUGUUAACAAUGAUGAAA